CCCAGACAGAAGAGAAGAGUCACAUCAUCUAGAUGAUGAAUGAAAAGAUAUGUCAUUAUUCUCCUUUGGGCAGUGCUUCUGCAGAAAAGUUGCACCUUCUAGGUGUUGGACUCAGCAAUAUAUCACAAUGUCUGCAGUAUUUUGGAAGGAGAGGAGAGUCACCAUUACUUAGGUGCUAGGCCCAGCAAUACAUCUCAAGCACUUCUUGGGCAAAGCCCAAGCAGUAAAAAAGAGUCACAUUACCUAGGUUCUGGGUAUAGCAAUAUGUCACAAAUGCCCCUAAGAAGAGGGCCCAGGAAAAGAGAGUCACCUUGGUGAGAAUGUCAGAGAUAUUCCAUUUUUGGGUAUUCACAAAAAAGAAUAAAGUCCCAUAACCUAGAAGGUGGGCUCUGCUCCAUGACACAAAUCACCCUAGUGGGCAGGUCCAUUAAAGAGAAGGCUGUCAAAGCACAUAGAUGCUGGGCAAAGUGAUAUGUCAUAAUCCCCAUGAUGAUAGGCCCAGAGACAUGUCACAAUGACCUCUUUAGGCAGAGACCAGGCAGAAGAAUCACAUCACUUGUGUGCUGGCCCUAGUGAUAAGUCACUCUCAUUUCUGUGGACAUGGCCCAGGCAGAAGAGCAGAGUCACAUUACCUAAGCGCUGGGUCAAGAGAUAUGUCACAAUCUUUUACAUGGGCAAAACCCAGGUAAAAAAGAGGAGUAAUAUCAGAUAGUAGGUGUUGCCAGAGAUAUGUCAAAAUGCCCCCUGUAUGAAAGACUCAGGCAGUCAAAACACAUUAGUUGGUUUCUUAACCUAGUGAUAUGUUAUAAUCUUUCCUGUGGGUAUGAUGCAGGCAGAAGACGAGAGUCAUGUGAUGGAUGCAGAGACAUGUCACAAGGUCUUCUGUGGGCAGGGUCCAGACUGAAGCCUUCCACCUGCUAGGGGUUGAGCCCAAUGAUAUGUCACAAUACCCAAAUUAUGCAGGGCCCAGGCAAAAAAAACGAGAGGCACAUCACCUGGGUUCUGGAUCCAAUGAUAUAUCACAAUUUUCUAUUUUGGCAAGACCCAGGCAGAAAGAAAAGUUACAUCACCUAGGUGAUGAAUGAAAAUACAUAUUAUAAUAGUUUUGUGGGCAGGACCCAUGCGGGAGAGUCACAUCACCUAGGUGUUGGACCCAGAAAUAUGUCACAAUAUACAGUGUAUACAGAGCUGAGGCAUGAGACAAUAGUAACUUCACUCAUUUGUUGAGCCCAGCUAUACAAUCCUUUUUUGGGCACAGCCGAAGUAGUAGAGGAGAGUUACAUCACCUUGGUGCUGGGUCCAGCAAUGUGUCACCAUACCUGCUGAGGGGAGGGUACAGGCAAGAGAGCCACAUCACUUAGGUGAGGGGCCCAGAGAUAUCUCACAGUACCCCCUGUGGGUAGAACUCAGGAAAAAGGAGAGAGUCACAUAAUCUAGAAGCUGAGCUCAGCUGUAUGUUACAAUCACCCAGUGGACAGGUCCCAGGCAUGAGAGUAGAGUCACAUCACAUAGGUGCUGGACCAAGCAAUUUGUCACAACCUUCACUGUGGACAGGUCCCCAGAAAAAGAGAAUCACAUCAUUUAGGUAACAAAACCUGAGUUAGUCACUGUUACUUGUUUGGGCAGAGGUCAGGAAGAAGUGUCACACAACAUGUAUGCUGGACUAAGCAAUACGUCACUCUCUCUGUUUUAGGUAUGGCCCAGGCAGGAGAGAAGGGUCAUAUCACCUAAGCUCUGGAUUCGCAGAUAGGCCCCAAUCUCUUUUUUGGGCAAUGCUCGGGUAAGAGAGCAGAGUCACAUCAAGUGGUUGAUGGGCCCAGAGAUAUAUCACAUUGCCCCUUGUGGACAGGGACCAGGCAGGGGACUCACAUCACAAUAGAGGUAGGACAAGGAAUACAUCACAAUACGUUUUGAGAGCAGAACCAAAAAAGAGUAACAUAAUCUUUGUGUUGAGUGCAGCAAUAUGUUACACUUUUCUUUGUGGGCAGAACGUGUAAAGAAGGAAAAAGUUGGCCGGACACGGUGGCCUGUAAUCCCAACACUUUGGGAGGUCAAGGUGGGCAGAUCACCUGAGGUCAGGAGUUCAAGACCAGCCUGGCCAACAUGGCAAAACGCUGUCUCUACUAAAAAUACAAAAAUUGGCUGGGUGUGGUGGCAGGCACCUGUAAUUCUAGCUACUCAGGAGGCUGAGGCAGGAGAGUCACCUGAACCUUUGAGGCAGAGGCUGCAGUAAGCAAAGAUCACGCCACUGCACUCCAGUGUGGGUGACACAGCAAGACUCCAUCUCAAAAGAAAAAAAAAUAAAGAAAGGAAAAGUCACAUAAGCUAGGCACUUGGCCCGUGAUAUGUCAUAGUCACCCAUUUGAGAAGGGAACAGCGAAGAGAAGAGAGUCACAUCACCUCUCUGGUGGACACAGAGAUAUCUCACAAUGCUCUCUGUAGGCAGGGCCAGGGCACAAGAGUUAUAUAACUCGGGUGUUAGACCAAGCAACAUGUCACAAUGGCUGAUAUGGGCCAGACACAGACAAGGGAGUCACAUAUUUGGGUGUAGGGCUCAGUUAUAUGUUGAAAUGCCCCCUGUGGGCAGCGACAAAGCAGAAGAUUCACAUCACCUGGAUAUAAGGCCCGGUGAUACGUUACAAUUCCCCUGUGAGCAGCGCUAAAGCAGAAGAAUAGGGUAAUAUCACCUAGGGGCUGAGUCCAGUGAUAUGUCACAAUUCCAUCUGGGCUGGGCCCAGGCAGAUGUGUCAAAUCAUGAAGGUUCUGUGAAGGUGCAUAUAUCACAAUCACACCUGCAGGAAGGUCCAAUAAUGAGAUUAACAAUCUCACACAGGUCCGGGUUCUAGGUAUGAGAGUCAACACCUGUGUGUUGGAUCCAAAUAGAUGAGUCGUAGUCUCAACAAUUGACUUGAUCCAUGUGUGAGAUCCUAGUUUCUAUUUGCAUUACUAUUGGUACCAGUACCUAUUAAUUCUUCCACCUUCUACAUCUUUGUUCUGUAUGAAUGUAUAUACAAAGAUUGAUACAUAUACAAGAUUAUAUGAGUAUUUCUAUGUAAAUAUGUACACAAAAAUUGUUCCUCCAAAGACAUUUUUCAGUAUCUUAGCAUAUUCUAAGGGUGCAGAUGUAGAAUUAUUUCUCUUCUCUGGCUCAGUAGCAUGUCAGAAUGGAACAUAGGUAUAGAAUGUUUUUUGUAUAGACAAAGCUUCACUUUCAGGGGCAAGGUUUGGGAAAUAAGCUGAUAGUAAAGUCAUGUAACACUUUCUGUGCAGGUUAACAUUUCUGGACCUUGCUUUCCUUCUCAGUGUAUGCAUGAGCUAUUCUCAUGCACCACUGGGGGCCAGUCUUGAUUAAUCUACAGUUGAAAUUUAGAGAACUGGCUGAUUGAAUCCACCUGGGCUGAGCUAACUGACAUUGAAAUCAGCUGGGCUGAGCUUAUUGGCCAGUUAAAAUCAUCUGGGCUCAAAUAUCGGCUGACUGGAGUCACCUGGGCUAAACUAAUUGGCUGAUUUUAAUCUCCUGGGAUUGGUUAAUUGACUGUAAUGACCUGAUUUGAGUUAAUUGACUGAUUGAAAUCAAAAGUGCUGACCUAAUUGGCUGAUUGAAAUCACCUAGAAUGAGGUAACUGACUGAUUGGAUUUACCUGAUCUGAGCUAAUUGGCUGAUCAGAAUUACCUAGACCAAAUUAAUUGGCUAAUUGGAAUACACUGGGCUGAGCUAAUUGGCUGAUUGAAAUAAUCAGGGCUGAGUAAGUGGGUUGCUUGUAUUCACCUCCCCUGAGAAGAAUAAGUAGGGAAAUGAUCUCUGACUUACCUUUUUUUUUAUAAGACAUACUCAUAAAUGGACAUUACAUAGAUAUAUUUAUAUAUUGUAUGUGUUUGUAUGUGUUUAUCUACAUAUAUUAUAUCUGUUAACCUUCAAGUUAAAGUGUGCAAAGGAAUCUGAAAUUUGCUUUCAAUAUUGCAGUCUAUCUUCAAUUUACAGACCUUGGCUUUUCUACCCCAAUUCAAGAAGUCACUUCUUCAGUCAACCAAACCAAUUACAAAAUUGUGUUCCAAUGUCACAUGUUCAAAAAUAAACAGUUCCUGAAAAGAUGUAAGCUUUAAAUGGAAUUAGUCAGCAUUUUCAAUUUUGGUUAGUGCCUUUAAAGCUAGUUUAUCUCUGUUUCUAUAUUAAUCGGAAUGAAAAGAAACAUUUUUGACUUGGCAUUGAAUGACAGUUGUGAUUUUAGUAAAUUUCUUGCUCACACAUAGGAGCAACAAAAAAAUACUUUUUUUUUUUUGAGACAGAGUCUCACUCUGUUGCCCAGGCUGGACUGCAAUGGCACAAUCUCAGCUCACCACAACCUCCAUCCACCAAGUUCAACUGAUUCUCUUGCCUUAGCCUCCCAAGUAGCUAGGAUUACAGGCAUGUAUCACCAAGCCUGGCUAACUUUGUAUUUUUAGUAGAGACAGAGUUUCUCCAUUGUUGGUCAGGCUGGUCUCGAACUCUCAACCUCAGGUAAUCCACCCACCUUGGCCUCCCAAAGUGCUGGGAUUACAGGCAUGAGCCUCCGCACCCCGCCAGUUUCACAAUACUUUUGAGCAUGGGCAUCAAAGUAUCCUCAAGGUUAAAAAUGUUGGGGUCCAAGCAUUCUACCUCUUUGAUUUGUAUGGUUUGAAUUAUGACUCAGCAUUUUAGGAACAUGUUGGCUCCAUAAUCUUUCACCCACACCCCACUUGAAAAAGAAGAUAAUUUUUCAGAUACACUUGCAGAUAC
rnacentral:lncRNA from 10 species